rnacentral:lncRNA from 1 species
AUUUUGUAGCACAUUAAAGAUGAAACCAUCAUGAUCUUUCCUAAAUAAUUUUUCACUUUGGUGGUGUUGAAGUUCUGUUAAUCAUUUUCAAUGUUUAUUCUCAAUUUACCUUAGCAAAAAGCUCUAUACUAGUGCUGAAGGGAGUCAGUCCUAAUAAAGUAAUAAAGUAAGAAAUGGAAUGAUCAUCCAUAUUAGUUAGCAUAGGGGUUCACCUGCUGUCACCAACACCAAUGAUGGCAGUGAUCUUCAUAGUCCCAGUAUAAGGAAUCCUGUGCUGGUUUGGAGACUUGACUAUAUCAGGGACACACCUUCCCCUCUCUGCCAACCAUACAGUAUUCCUUGGUCAGCAUGAUCCCAGCUGGUUCACUAUUGCAUCCUCAUUCCAGCCAGUGGGAGGGGUUACAGGACUGAGCCUUUCUUCCUUUGAAGGACAUGCAUCAUUUCCACAUCCAUCCAAAAUAUCCCAUGGCCAGAAAUUGAUCACAUGACCACAUCAAGAUGCAAGAAACAAUGGAAGAAGUGGUCAUUUUUUUUUCUGGGGGUACUUGAUCCCAACUAAAAAUUGUGUAGCUUAGAUGAGGGGAAUGGAUAUUGAAGGACAAAUGGCAGUUUCUGACACAGUACCCCUAUGACAUUUUUAUUGCCACACAAUGCAGGAUCCAAGGUGUGUCUCUGAUCUACACCACAGCUCACAGCAAUGGCGGAUCAUUAACCCACAGAGUAAGGCCAGGGAUUGAAUCCACAACCUCGUGGUUCCUAGUUGGAUUUGUUAACCACCGAGCCGUGACGGGAACUCCUACUGUGACAUUUUUGAUUCGCCUAUUCCAGAUGGGCUGUGCUACAUCAUGCUGCCCCUUCUUGUGAACUGGAUUUCAAGAGCAACCAGUUCUUUUACAAAGACAUCAAUAUUUAUGAUCUCACUGGUUUCACUAAUUCAACUAUCAUUUAGUGAACACCUACCUUGUGACAAGUUAUGCUAUAAGUACUGAAGAUAAAAAAUUAAAUAACACUCUGUCUUUUCCUCACACUAGAUGGUAGGUGCUCUCCUCAGAGCCUGCUGCAUCCCUCAGGGCCCCAGAGAUGCUGAUUUCUGAGUCCUCACUUCCUUAGGAGGGUAAUGUUCCCCUUGCCUUCCUUGCCUUUCAGGAUUAGAAGAUUGAGUUAUGGAGAUCUGAGUUCUGGUCUCUCUGGCAUCAGGCCAUUGUGAAAGGUCCUUUCCUUUCAGGCAGAAAACCGACAAAGUCAGGCACUUUGCUCUGAGGCUUUCAUUUGCGUUUCUAAGUUGAUUGCCUAAAACUGAGACCGCUUUCCCUGUGGGGAGAGGGAUGGACUGGGCUUCUUAAAGUGUGUGUGUGUGUGUGUGUGUGUGUGUGUGUGUGUGGUGUGUGUGUGUGUGUGUGUGUGUGUGUGUGGUGUGAUCCCUGAGAAAAAAGGUGGAACUUCAUGCCAAACUGUUGGAAAGAGAAGAGAGGGCAGAGUGUGGGUGGGGUAAUAGGACCCUGUGUCCUUCUUUGAUGUUGUCCCCUUAGGGAGCCCUUAUUAGAGCCUUCUCUAGCCUUCUUCUCUCUAGUCCCUUGUAACUAGCUUCACCUCUGUCACUUUCUCCUUUCACUCCACUGGCCUCCAAGGUGUUUAGCCAGCCAAGCUUGCUCCCUCCUUAUGGCCUUUAUGUUCUGUGUCCCUUCUGUGUGGGCCACUCUCCCCUGAGUCAUGAGGUUAACCUCUGACUUCCUUCAGGUCUUUACUCACCUUCUCUGUGAGGCCUUCCAUGGCCACUCUUUCAAAACUGUCAGCCUUUCAUCCCGAUGCUCUAUACAUUUCCCUGCUCUACUAUGUCUCCUGAGCACUCACUAUUGUUUACUUAAUUUCUGCUAGAAACAGAGCGGAAUGGACAAUAAAAGACAGAUAAUCUCCAGGGGAACAUGGAUUUUUGUCUGUUUGUUUCUUUCUUUUUUUUCUUUUUACAGCUGCACCUGUGGCACAUGGAAGAUCCAGGGCUAGGGCCUGAAUCAAAGCUGCAGCUGAGCCCUAUGCCACAGCCAUGGCAACAUCUAAAACCUGUGCUGCAGCUUAUGGCAGUGCUGGAUCUUUAACACAGUGAGUGAGGCUAGGGUUCAAACCUGCAUCCUUACAGAGACUGUGCUGGGUCCUUAACUCCCUGAGCCACAAUAGGAACUCCUGUCUGUUUUUUUCAUACUCUGUCUUAUAGAAUAGUUCUUUGUACAUGGUACAUUCUUUAGUAAGUAUUUGUUAAGUGAAUGAAUAAUGACAAAAUUCCCUAAGUCUCAGCUAGACAAAUAGGAAGUAUAAUCUCCUUCAUUUAAAUUGAUCAUAUGAUUUGGACAAUUGGAAUUUCAGUAGAAAUUCUUGACUUUAGAAUUGAAGACUCCCCUAAGCUUGUUGGCUAGUAUAGGGAAUCUUAGUAACAAAGGGCAUAAAGUCACAUAGUUUAUGAUAGUUUUAAUCAUAGUUUAUGAUUUUUUGAAGAUGAAGGAGAUGUGGCAUUUCUUGCAUCACAAUGUUUUGAGCAAAGUGUAGCCAGUUCACCUUGAGUGUGCACAAAAGCCAGCCUUGCCGCCUCCUGCUAGCUUUUGUUGGUGCAAGUAUGCCUGGCAGUUUGACUUGAGAAUGGCAUUAAGGACUUGCCAUGGUGCUGACAUGAGAAGUGAGAAAUGGCAAGUGCAUGGAACUAGCACAGGGAGCAAAGGGUCAGUGUUUCAAUACCAGCCAUGGCUUAGUUGAUAAGAUACUGCAAAUGAGUACUUCAUGUGUGUGUGUGAGUCUCUGUGUGUCACAUAAGAAGCAUAUAUUGUGUUAUGUGCACAAUGGCCAGUGAAUUUGAUGCCUCUUUUAUGGAUGCUAUUGGAUGUGUCAGCACUUCUUCCAUUCCCUUCUGUCUUGAGGUGUGUGGAAAUUUCUCCUGUGCCAUCCUUUACUUUGAUAAAGGAAUUGAAAAUAAGGUCUCCUCUCUUUGCUUUUGACUUCUCCAUUCAUAUAAUUGGUUUUCCUCCUUUGCUCAGUGCUCCCUAUGGUCACAUCAUAUUACAAAUUAUUAUAUAAUAAAAGUUGUUGCCUUGUAUUUUCUUUCCUACCUGUUUCCUACAGAACUUGGGAGAAAUAAAAGGAAUUGACCCAGGUUAAGAUGACAAAAAUAAUUAUCCCUCGUUUAAAAGAAGAAAAGUUUACAUUAAUAGACUAAUUCAAAUUUAUUUAAUUUUGCACAGAAUUAAAAAAAGCAUCUCACUGAAAAGUAACAUGAAAAAGAAUAUUAAAAUUCUUGAUAAGUUAAGGGGUUAGAAACUACCAUUUAUUGACUAUGUAUAGGGUACCAUCUAGAAAUUCAGUAACUGAGCUGAGAAAUUGAUGUUAUCCCAUUUUACAGGGAAAGAAACCAAGCUUCAGGGAUGUUAAUAAAUGCUAAGGACAUAUUAGUAGGAAGUGGGAGAGGCUGGAUUUGUAUUUAGAUGUGUCUGAUUCCAACUAAACUUUACUAUGCUGGUUUCCAACUGUCUUUAAAUUCAGAGUGUUCUUAAAAUUUCAGUACUGUACAUUCUAAAUUGAAAGCACUGUAUUUCAUUUCUAAGUAAGAUCAUCUUUUCCCUUUGCCAGAAAUAAUAUCUUUGAUUGCUCUAGCGCUUGGUUUGUAUGAAUUGCUUUCCUUGUUUUCUCAAUGCCAUGCAGGGAUUUAAAGUUCCUUGCUGUUAAAAACAGAGAUGAGUUACCUCAUUUUUGAAAUUCCUACACUGAGUUUCAAAAGCAAAAACAUGUCAUUAGGAGCUUAGGCUCAGAAUCUGAAUUUCAUCUUCUCUGCUUACUUACUGCAUAAUAGUGGCCACAUUCCUUAAUUAGGCUGUACCUCAAUAUCUCUAUCUGUAAAACAGAGGUAAUAUCAUCAAUAUAAAGAUUAAAAUAGUUAAUGUGUUAAUACAAUUAAAGUGCUUUUAAACAGAGCCUGACACACAAACAUCACCAAUAAAAUUUUUAUUUCUACCCAGGCAUGGCAAUCAUAAAGAGACAAUCAUUUUCAUUUUCUGGAACAUAGGAUAUUAGUUUCCUAAGGAUCCUUUCCUUCCAUGUCUUCCUGUUAACUAUCUGCUAGGGUUAUACCAGCUGCGCAUGGUGCUUUUUCACUCAAGAGGAAGACAUCUGAAAAUAGGCCUGUCUGUCUCUUUUAUUUUUAAAUUCAUACAUUUGUAAUGAAAAAAGCAAACUGAUCAUCAUUGGAGGAUCUUAGUGGACCAACUCAGUAUUUUGAAAAUUGGUCAGUACAGCAACAUACUAAAGGCCUAUCCUUCAUUUCCUGUGUGGACUGUCCUACUAGAUAAUCAAUAGUAGAAAAGGAAUUAUUUCUUUUCACAGAAGAGUGCAUGGAUCUAGGCAUUGGACAUCAAUACCCCUAAGAUCAAAGAGAGACAUAGAUAGAUAGACAGAUAGAUAGAUAUAUAGAUAGAUAGAUUAUGUGAUUCCAUUUAAUUGAACAUACCAUCAAUAAAGUAGUCUUAUUAAACACUAUAAUUUAUGGAGUUCCCAUUGUGGCUCAGCAAUAACGAACCUGAUUAGUAUCCGUGAGGACAUGGGUUCAGUCCCUAGCCUUGCUCAGUGGGUUAAGGAUCUGAUGCUGCUGUGAGCUGUGGUGUAGGUUGCAGACAUGGUUUAGUGUUGCUUAGGCUGUGGUGUAGGCAGGCAGCUUCAGCUCUGAAUUGACCACUAACGUGGGAACUUCCAUUUGACGUGGGUGCAACCCUGAAAAAAGAAAAGAAAAGGAAAAAAGAAAAAAAAGAAAAAAAA